GACGACGCCUGGGCAGGCCGCCUCGAGGGCGUCCUUGAUGGCGUCAAUCAGCUCGAAGCCGCGCAGGGUAGGGUCGUUCGGCGGGCUGAGUUUCUCCGGCGUCGGGCUGAACGGGGUCGGGUCCAGGA